CGGUAAUUCCAGCUCCAAUAGCGUAUACUAAAGUUGUUGCAGUUAAAAAGCUCGUAGUUGGAUUUCUGCGGGGACGGAGCGGCCGGUCGCAACUUGCGACUCGAGCUAGCGCUUUCCCCGCAUCCUGCCGCGAACCGUGCUACCAUUAGUUUGGUGGCGCUGGGGAUCGGCUCGAUUACUUUGAGAAAAAUAGAGUGUUCAAAGCAGGCCACACGCCUUGAAUAAGUUAGCAUGGAAUAAUGACUAAGGACUUUGGUUCUUUUCGUUGGUGUUCGGGACUGAAGUAAUGAUUGAUAGGGACAGUUGGGGCGGUCCGUAUUCCAAAGCGAGAGGUGAAAUUCUUAGACCUUCGGAAGACGAACAGCUGCGAAAGCGUUCCGCAAGGAUGUUCCCUUUGAUCAAGAACGAAAGUUGGGGGAUCGAAGACGAUCAGAUACCGUCGUAGUCUCAACUAUAAACUAUACCAGCUAGGGAUCGGCCAACGUUUAAUUAUUCGACUUGGUCGGCACCUUAUGAGAAAUCAAAGCAUCUGGGUUCCGGGGGGAGUAUGGUCGCAAGGCUGAAACUUAAAGGAAUUGACGGAAGGGCACCACCAGCCGUGGAGCCUGUGGCUUAAUUUGACUCAACACGGGAAAAUUUACCAGGUCCGGACAUAGUAAGGAUUGACAGAUUGAUAGCUCUUUCUUGAUUCUGUGGGGGGCGGGGCAUGGCCGUUUUUAGUCGGUGGAUGUGAUCUGUCUGCUUAAUUGCGUUAACGGACGAGACCCCAGCAUAUUAAAUAGCGCGGCCGAGCUUUGCUCGGUGCUAUCUUAUUAGACGGGACAUGAUACACGACAACACAAGGAAGUUCGGGACCACAUCAGGUAUGUGAUGACAUUAUAUGUUCUGGGCCCCACACGGGCUGCCCUGGCCCCCGCAAAGAUCAUAUCAGCCGAGACGAUAGGGUCUUGUCUAAUCUUUGGAACCGGCGCCGUGCUUGGGACUGACCAAUGCAAUUUCAGGUCACGCAGCGAGGAAUGCCUAGUAAACUC
rnacentral:rRNA from 1 species